rnacentral:rRNA from 1 species
AUUGAACGCUGGCGGAAUGCUUUACACAUGCAAGUCGAACGGUAGAGGGGGCAACCCCUCGAGAGUGGCGAACGGGUGAGUAAUAUAUCGGAACGUGCCCAGUCGUGGGGGAUAACGUAGCGAAAGUUACGCUAAUACCGCAUACGAUCUAAGGAUGAAAGCGGGGGAUCGCAAGACCUCGCGCGAUUGGAGCGGCCGAUAUCAGAUUAGGUAGUUGGUGGGGUAAAGGCUCACCAAGCCAACGAACUGUAGCUGGUCUGAGAGGACGACCAGCCACACUGGAACUGGGACACGGUCCAGACUCCUACGGGAGGCAGCAGUGGGGAAUUUUGGACAAUGGACGCAAGUCUGAUCCAGCCAUUCCGCGUGCAGGAUGAAGGCCCUCGGGUUGUAAACUGCUUUUGUACGGAACGAAAAGGUCUCUCUUAAUACGGGGGGCUCAUGACGGUACCGUAAGAAUAAGCACCGGCUAACUACGUGCCAGCAGCCGCAGUAA